AUAGCAUCCUAUUUAUUCUAAUCAUAUGAUAAUUCAGGAAGCCUUUGAUCAAAGCAAAAUGAAAAUUAGAAAGAAUUUCUAAUGUUUCAUUAUUUGAAUUAUCAUUAAAAGAUUGAGAAAAAUAUGAAUAUGAAAUUGAGUUUGACAUAUAUUCAUACUCAUAUACAUAUUUGGGAUGCAGUUUGAUUAAAGGAUUGAAUUGCAUGGUAACUUGCCACUGAAGGAUAUUUUUGGUAUUUCCACCAAAUUCCAUAUUUUCCAGGUAGACAUGACACGUUGCUAGACGUCAAUCUUGUUUUAUAGGUUUGAUCAAAUUAAAGAGUUUAAUUCGAUCACCAAUUAGAAAGGAUUCUAAUUGUUAAGUUCGGAUUCGCGCAGUUUGGACUUAAAUCGAUUAGAAGAGUUCUAAUCAAGUUGGGUCAACUCGCACUCACACCUAUUGCUGGCUAAGUAUGGAACCCAAUGGGUCACACACAAG
rnacentral:lncRNA from 1 species